AUACGUAGGGGGCGAGCGUUGUCCGGAAUUAUCGGGCGUAAAGGGUUCGCAGGCGGCCUUUUAAGUCAGAUGUGAAAUCCCACGGCUUAACCGUGGUAAGCAUUUGAAACUGGAAGGCUUGAGUUAAGGAGAGGAAAGUGGAAUUCCUAGUGUAGCGGUGAAAUGCGUAGAUAUUAGGAGGAAUACCAGUGGCGAAGGCGACUUUCUGGACUUAUACUGACGCUGAGGAACGAAAGCGUGGGGAGCAAACAGGAUUAGAUACCCUGGUAGUCCACGCCGUAAACGAUGAGUGCUAGGUGUUGGGGGUCAAACCUCGGUGCCGCAGCUAACGCAUUAAGCACUCCGCCUGGGGAGUACGUACGCAAGUAUGAA
rnacentral:rRNA from 1 species